GCCACCCUGGUGUAGUGGUCUGAACAUUAGACUAUGACUCUGGAGAUUGGGGUUCAAAUCCCUGCUCAGCCA